AUAGACUUGCAUAUUAACAUUCCUCCCUCAAAUUUAAUCCCAGUGGUACAUAUGUAUUCAAUUUUUCAAUCCAAAAGCUUUCCCUCUCUGUAGGUUUAUUAAUAUCCGUGAUAUCAAUAAUCUGUGCUUUAAAGUCAUUAAGACCCGAAUGGCCCUCCUCAAAAAAAUGUUCAUACAAAUGUUGACUACAUAAACGAAAGACCAUCUUAAUUGUUCGGGCUAAAUUGCAUAAGCUUGAGGUUGCAGCUAAAGGGAUGCAUGGUUAAAUGUGGGGGGAAGAAGUGCAAAGUUUGUGAUUCCAUCGUGGUAGCGGAUACUUUUCAAAGUACAGUACAACAGCGCACGUUUCACAUUAACCACCACUUUGAUUGUAACUCUCGGG
rnacentral:lncRNA from 1 species